UGGGGAAUAUUGGACAAUGGGCGGAAGCCUGAUCCAGCCAUGCCGCGUGUGUGAAGAAGGCCUUUUGGUUGUAAAGCACUUUAAGCGAGGAGGAGGCUACUUGGAUUAAUACUCUAGGAUAGAGGACGUUACUCGCAGAAUAAGCACCGGCUAACUCUGUGCCAGCAGCCGCGGUAAUACAGAGGGUGCGAGCGUUAAUCGGAUUUACUGGGCGUAAAGCGUGCGUAGGCGGCUUUUUAAGUCGGAUGUGAAAUCCCUGAGCUUAACUUAGGAAUUGCAUUCGAUACUGGGAAGCUAGAGUAUGGGAGAGGAUGGUAGAAUUCCAGGUGUAGCGGUGAAAUGCGUAGAGAUCUGGAGGAAUACCGAUGGCGAAGGCAGCCAUCUGGCCUAAUACUGACGCUGAGGUACGAAAGCAUGGGGAGCAAACAGG
rnacentral:rRNA from 1 species